UACACGAUUCCAGAACUUCAGUGACUGGAUUGCAAAUGGCCAUUCCCAUCACACAAAAGGCGCCGUUUCUAGAAAUCAGCCGUCGCCUUCUUCGUCUCCUUCCACAGGAACGGUUUCUGCAGUAAUGGCUUUGAAGCCGUUUCAAUUGUAGAGAUGCUUGGCAUUCUCUGGCUAUAAAGCCAGAGAAGAUGAGAGAGCGCGAGGGGGAAGGAAUCACAGAACCGGAGGGGGACUAAAAACGAAGGAAGAAGAGCAGACAUGCAUUCCUCUGUUUCUUCUCAAAGAAACAGAGGAGGCUAAAGAAAAAGCCACGAACAAAAGGAAGUAAACAGAGAGCUAAACCCAUCUUCAGUUUAGUCCCAGAAUUCAAUCACAACAUAUGAACAGAAGAGGAAAGCAGAGGAGAGCAGAGAGUAAGUAAAAAAACCCAACAAACAGAAACGCAAGAACAGAAACUGUACAGAGGGGAGCAAGUUUUCUGCCCCUGUUUCUUCUCACAGAAACAGAGGCGUUCGUGCCUCACGAUCGUGAGGCACGAACGCGUGAAGAAAGGCCAUUCUCUGGCCACAGCAGGGGAAUCACGGAACCAAGGACAUCCAGAGAGCAGAGAGAACCCGAAGAAAUACCCAGAGGCUAAAAAUCCCAGACGGAAAAAACCCAGUAGACAGGGGGAAAGCUAAGCCCAGACACGAAAAAACCAGGGAGAGACCGGAGAAAAAACUGCUGAAAAACCAAAGCAGAGAAUACACGAAGAAAAGCCAGGGGAAGGAGACAGAGACAGAAACAGGGGAAGAGAACAAAAAGCCAACGUACCCCAGCUUCGCCUUCAUCUUCAGAACACAAACACAGUGAGCAGACGAAAAACCAGAGAAGAAAAACGCAAACAAAACCAGAGGAAGAAGCUUAAAAAAACGAAGAGAGGACCAGCAUCACCACCGACUGCCUCUUCUCCAGCACCAGCUUCCAAAACCAAAGGAAGAAGCUAAAAAGGAGAGAGGAACAAGCAGCUGACAGAAGGAAUACACCGAAAGAAGGGAAACGAACGAACACAGGGAUCUUGAGGCAAGGAUAGACGACCAAGAAAGACUGAAAAAAUCCGGAUCGCCAUUUCCAGCACCAGCUUCACAUCUGUUGCCAAUCCAAUAGCUUGAAGAAACCUUACAACUUACCAAGUCAUGUCAAUCUGCCACCAUUCCAGGCCAUGCUUGGCUGAGUAUCAAAAGUAUGUCAAAAAUUGACCAUCCACGACGGCGUUAGAAUCUUCAUGAUGGAUGAAGUAUUGUGUGCGGUGGUCAAUGCGGUGAUAUGGCUUUGCUCAACUUUUUUUUUUAUUCUUUUUUCCUCCUUGAAAAACACGUUGCUUAAUAAUUGUUUUUAAUAUUAUCCUCUUAUUUUGUUUAAGUUUCUAAUUUAUUCUUCUUGAUUUUGAUUAUUUAAUUUUUAUCUUAUUUCUUUUAAAUUUGUUUUUGGUUUCACUAUUUAUUAAAAUGUUAUUUUUCCUCUUAUUUUUUUUUCAAAUUUGAUUAUUUUUAUUUUGAUUAUUUUUUUCCCGUUCCUUUUGUAAAGUAUAAAAGUUUUUUUUUCACUCUUAAAUCAAACAAUGCUAUUAUUUUUUUUUAUUAUGUUUUUGUUUAAUAUUUAAUUCUCAUUCUUUUAUAUUGCUCCUUUUGUUUUGGAAUUGUUUGUCAAAUUAUUAUUUUUCAAUUUCAUUAUUCAACCCUAAGUUGAUUAUGAAUUUAGAGUAAUCAUGAUUUUUUCUGGUUGGGUUACAUUGGGUUAAUGACUCAGGUUAUGUGUUUAAAAUGUUAACCUAGAUGCCGUCAGCCUUUAUUUUUAUUUUUAAAAAAAAAAAAAAUUUUGAGUUCGUUAUUUUUAAAAUUGAUUUUUUCUACUUUUUGUCAUUCAUCAUUUUUUAUUUAUUUUGCAUUUAGCUUUAUAACUUUUCAUGGCAUGCCUUUUAUUGUGUUGUCCAAUGCGCACAAUCUUAGUCAUGUUAUUUAGUAAGCUAAUCCAAGUUUGUUGGCUUUUUUUUUCCAUUUUGUUAAUUAUUUGUUUAUUCAAUCAAGUCUUUCUACAUUGGGUUUGUUAAUAAUUAGAGCUUAAUUACAUGUCUUUUUGGUUUGCUUUCUGAGUUGUUAUCACAACCUCUCGAAUAAGUUGCGGGUUUGGUAGGCACAUUUGGAUUAACUUUGGUCAUAUUGUUUUUUAUUUUCUUUCUAUCGCACUUGAUUAAAUUGAAACUUAUCAUUGUUUAAUAAAUGCUUUUUCUUUA